rnacentral:tRNA from 1 species
AGCUUUAUAGUCAAAAAUGAUUUUAGACUGCAAUUCUAAAGGUGUAAAAAUACUAAGGCUU